rnacentral:rRNA from 1 species
UACGUAGGGGGCAAGCGUUGUCCGGAUUUAUUGGGCGUAAAGAGCGUGUAGGCGGCCUGAAAGGUCCGCUGUGAAAACUCGAGGCUCAACCUCGAGACGCCGGUGGAAACCAUCAGGCUAGAGUCCGGAAGAGGAGAGUGGAAUUCCUGGUGUAGCGGUGAAAUGCGCAGAUAUCAGGAAGAACACCCGUGGCUAAGGCGGCUCUCUAGUACGGUACUGACGCUGAGACGCGAAAGCGUGGGGAGCGAACAGG